CCGCGGUAAUACGAAGGGUGCAAGCGUUACUCGGAAUUACUGGGCGUAAAGCGCGCGCAGGCGGCCCGGUAAGACUGGCGUGAAAGCCCCCGGCUCAACCGGGGAGGGUCGCUGGUGACUGCCGGGCUUGAAGACAGCAGGGGCAGGUGGAAUUCCCGGUGUAGUGGUGAAAUGCGUAGAGAUCGGGAGGAACACCCGUGGCGAAGGCGGCCUGCUGGGCUGGGCUUGACGCUGAGGCGCGAAGGCGUGGGGAGCGAACGGG
rnacentral:rRNA from 1 species